CCCAGAUGCCUCGACGCAAACUAUAACAUCACUACAUCGUGGUCGACGGGUGGCUCACCACUGCGGAUGAGGUAUUUCCUACUCCCCACCAGCAGACUUUGCUGACGUCCUCUGAGGCGUAUGGAAUACAAACGGAAGAUAUGUUUGUUAUUCUUUGUCAGUUUCAUUGGCCAAUACGAAGUCGGAGACAGAUGCUGCUAUGCAUCCGAUCCGGGAAGCCGGGUUUAUAAGGACUGUCAGGCGAGUCCUUAUAAACAGACGAGAUGCCAACCUUGUGCCGACACUGCUUUCCAUAGAGGCCUCAAUGGGCAUAAACACUGCACUCCCUGUACCAGAUGUGAUGCAGACAGGGGUCUGCGUUUAAGGAAGUCGUGUACAGAGACAUCAGACGCCUUGUGUGAAACCCUGGAUGGAUACUUCUGUAGUGACCCCCUUGAAGGAGGAUGUAGGGCGGCUCAGAGACACAGUGUGAGCUGCAGUCCUGGUCACCACAUCGGUCAAAAGGGAACCGCAGAUAAAGACACAGAAUGCAUUAAAUGUAUCCAUGGAACGUUCUCAAAUGGACUGUCUUGCAAGCCCCACACAAAGUGUGAAUCCCUGGGCCUGUAUCAGAUCCAACCAGGGACCGAUUCAACUGAUUCUGUGUGUGGACAUCUGUCCAACGUAACACCAGCAAUGAAAGGAUCAAUACCAAUCAUAGUGCUGGCAUCAGUCAGCAUUAUGUUCUUUCUAUGAAUGAGAAACAAGCUAGGAAGGCGCUUUUCUAAUCCACAUUCAGCUGUCCAAACCCAGGAAGUGGCUCCAGGAGAACCUAAUGAGGAAAAAAACACGAUGCUGCAAAACCUAUGCUGUGGGAUCAUGUUCUGGGUUAGGAAAUCAUAGCAAUAUCAAUACACACAGUAUAUCUAAAGAAGUGUAUGCAUAUUCUCAGGUCAAGCAUAUUGUAUUUGUUGACAGCAACUGUGAUCCCCUUGAUCACAGUUGCAGUCUUAAAGGUCUUUACUGCCCACACAGUGAACCACCGAUCAUGUUCAGGUCAUGUUGAUCAGUUUAUGAUCAGACUACCAAAGCGGUCGUAGACAGCCCCCGCUAGUCAUAGAACAAAACUUCAAACUUAGCGACCUUUUGAAACUAUGUGGUGAGAUGUGUGAGAUGCAUGUGAUAAGAUUGAGAACUCGCCAACACUAAAGGAAACACAAGCUCACAUGCUGCUGAACUCGAUUGUCCCCCUGGAUUUACAGCUGGCAGCAAAGAUCUUUAAGCACUUACUGUACGUUCACACCAAAAGCUGUAGACUAUGCAAAAUCGCUGAAUAGCUCAAUACGCAAUGUUGUCAAAAAUAUUUAAAGGUCAUAUCGCUCUUGUGCAUAUGUUUACUGGGACCCACGCCGCAAGAGAUAUCUACAUUCCGAUUGGCUGGCGGUCGUUCGCAGCCGAAACGCUACUAGCUCAUUUACAUAGAGUUGAGCUGUUUCAAACUCUAAUUUACAGCUUUAAAGCUAUCGCUCAAGCGUUUUAUCGCUCCUAUUGCUUUAUGUCAUGUCUAUGCAUUUUUCUGAUUGUACUUUAGACACUUUAGACAACUUUUUUGUUUUUCCCAAAUGUGGCCUUUUUACGUGGUGGUUUUCCGUACCAUUCGUAGUACCAUACAACCUCAGGUAUGAAAUACAAUAUUGUCCUUCUUUAACCUUCUGUCUUGAAAGGCAGAGCCUUAUAUUCCUUUAAAUAUGACAAGCCUUAUGUGCUCAGUGACCUUAAUGCCACCAUGUCCCAUUAGCCUUGAUGCCACCACAGCUUUAUGGCGAUUUUAAAUUUUUAUUGACCAACAAUGAAGCUCAGUGGACAUACGUUGGAUUUCCGUACAUGGAUGAAGUCUUUGUCUUGAAUAAUGCAGUCGCUGCCCAUCAGUUCUGAGAACGUAACUCCCUACAGGGGCCCUACGUUAACCCCCCCAUAACUCAUGUUUUACUUAUGGUACUGAAGGAUAUAUAUGGUGAACUCUGCAAUAAACGACACAGAAAAGGACCACGUAAGCACAUGUGUAUAACAAACAAAGUUGUAUCAAUUUAAUCAGUCCCUUCCCUGAAGCAAACCAAGGGUUAGGAAAUCAUAGCAAUAUCAAUACACACAGUAUAUCUAAAGAAGUGUAUGCCUAUUCUCGGGUCAAGCAUUUUGUAUUUGUUGACAGCAACUGUGAUCCCCUUGAUCACAGUUGCAGUCUUAAAGGUCUUUACUGCCCACACAGUGAACCACCGAUCAUGUUCAGGUCAUGUUGAUCAGUUUAUGAUCAGACUACCAAAGCGUUUGUAGACAACCCCCGCGAGUCAUAGAACAAAACUUCAAACUUAGCCACCUUUUGAAACUAGCGUGUGGUGAGAACUCGCCAACACUAAAGGAAACACAAGCUCACAUGCUGCUGAACUCGAUUGUCCCCCUGGAUCUACAGCAAAGAUCUUUAAGCACUUACUGUACGUUCACACCAAAAGCUGUAAAAGAUGCAAUAGCGCUGAAUAGCUCAAUGCGCAAUGUUGUCAAAAAUAUUUGGACAACGUUACGAUUGGCUGGCGGUCAUUCACAGCCGAAACGCUACUAGCUAAUUUGCAUAGAGUUGAGCUGUUUCAAACUCAUUUACAGCUUUAAAGCUAUCGCUCAAGCGUUUUAUCGCUCCUAUCGCUUUAUGUCAUGUCUAUGCAUUUUUCUGAUUGUACUUUAGACACUUUAGACAACUUUUUUGUUUUUCCCAAAUGUGGCCUUUUUACGUGGUGGUUUUCCGUACCAUUUGUAGUACCAUACAACCUCAGGUAUGAAAUCCAAUAUUGUCCUUCUUUAACCUUCUCUCUUGAUAGGCAGAGCCUUAUAUUUCUUUAAAUAUGACAAGCCUUAUGUGCUCAAUGACCUUAAUGCCACCAUGUCCCAUUAGCCUUGAUGCCACCACAGCUUUAUGGCGAUUUUAAAUUUUUAUUGACCAACAAUGAAGCUCAGUGGACAUACGUUGGAUUUCUGUACAUGGAUGAAGUCUUUGUCAGGAAUAAUGCAGUCGCUGCCCAUCAGUUCUGAGAACCUAACUCCCUACAGGGGCCCUACGUUAACCCCCCCAUAACUCAUGUUUUACUUAUGGUACUGAAGGAUAUAUAUGGUGAACUCUGCAAUAAACGACACAGAAAUGGACCACGUAAGCACAUGUGUAUAACAAACAAAGUUGUAUCAAUUUAAUCAGUCCCAUCCCUGAAGCAAACCAAAUAUGUUUAUCAAACUUUGUUGUUUGUUGUUUUGUCUGUAUGUGAAUGUAUUUAAUGUGUAGGCUGCUGCUAAAAGAUAAUACUUUAUUAAUUAUUUAUCGAUUGUGUUUUUUAUGUCAACACCUGAUGUUUGUUUUCUUGCCAUGUUUUUACUGCCUAUUCCAAGACUGCCUAAUCUAUGUGAUGUCUCAUAACUACUUUUCAUUGAUUAAUACUCUUCGACAUAAAGCAUUACAAUACCUGUUUACUGAAUAAAAGGUUUGGCAUUACUUUAAUGUCCCGUUCCUGGUGUGGUUGAAAACCUUACACGUCAUCACUGUUCUAUUACCGUAUUUUAAUUUUCUCAAUCGUAUAAAAGUAAAACAGCAUCUAAGUAAUAAUGAGCUCCGUUCUAAU